GAAAACGUGAAAAAAUAGUCAUGUUCAUAUUAUGUAUUACUUGCUUCUUAGGAGGUUCUUCAUUGUUUCAAAAUAAGAUACCAUUUUCUGGAACACUGCUGUGAAAAAAAUGUUCUGCCUCAGAGACUAUCCAUUGUCUUCUCUGCUUAGAAUUAUAAAGAUGGAGUUUGUUUCCCUUGUACUUGGUGAUAUGUGUGAUGGGAAUAUACUUCACACUAAAUGCCUAAAUCAGUUAUUUAUGGGCCAUGCUUCCAGCCGCAAGCCUACAAUUCUUGAAUAAGAAGCUUAUGCACUUCACCCUACCCCAUCUACUUGGAGCUGUUAUGAAAUCUGAUCUACUUCUUGAUUCUUAUGUGUCUAUCACAGAAAACAUUACCCACAUUGGAAAUCAGAGAAGAAACUAUAGGGAAGAGGAGAUUUUGAGAAAUGUUUUGGAUGUGCAGACAGGAAAUUUUAAAAGUAAGUGAUAAUCCUUUGGCUUUAAUAUCAU
rnacentral:lncRNA from 1 species